AUCCAAGUGCAGGGGUUUUACGCGUAUCAAUGAGGAUUUCGUCCGAGAUUGCGUUUUUGCUAGUUGAAAACUACAUACCCGACCACUUCCAGCAUGGCCUCGGCUGGCUGGGGAAUUUUUGGAAACCAAUUUAAUGU
rnacentral:snRNA from 2 species